AUUGGAGGGCAAGUCUGGUGCCAGCAGCCGCGGUAAUUCCAGCUCCAAUAGCGUAUAUUAAAAGUUGUUGCAGUUAAAAAGCUCGUAGUUGGAUUUCUGGUCGGAGCGAUCGGUCCGCCUCAUUCGGGGUGUGUACUUGUGUCGUCUCCAGCCAUCCUUGAGGAGAACUGUCCUGGCAUUGAGUUGUUGGGGCAGGGAACCUCAUCUUUUACUGUGAAAAAAUUAGAGUGUUUAAAGCAGGCUUACGCCGUUGAAUACAUUAGCAUGGAAUAAUAAGAUAGGACUUUGGCGGUCUAUUUUGUUGGUUUGCACGCCGAGGUAAUGAUUAAUAGGGAUAGUUGGGGGUAUUCGUAUUUAAUUGUCAGAGGUGAAAUUCUUGGAUUUCUGAAAGACGAACUACUGCGAAAGCAUUUACCAAGGAUGUUUUCAUUAAUCAAGAACGAAAGUUAGGGAUCGAAGAUGAUUAGAUACCAUCGUAGUCUUAACCAUAAACUAUGCCGACUCGGAUUGGCGGGCGUUCUCUUUA
rnacentral:rRNA from 1 species